CCUACGGGUGGCUGCAGUGAGGAAUAUUGGUCAAUGGGCGCUAGCCGAACCAGCCAAGUAGCGUGGAGGAUGACUGCCCUAUGGGUUGUAAACUUCUGUUAUAUGGGAAUAAAGGGCAGUAUGUAUACUGCUUUGCAUGUACCUUGUGAAUAAGGAGCGGGUCACUCCGUGCCAACAGCCGCGGUAAUACGUAGGAUGCGAGCGGUAUUCGGAUUUAGGGGGUUUUAAGGGAGCGUAGGCGGGUUGUGAAGUGCGUUGUGAAAGUUUGCGGCUCAAACGUUAAAUUGAGGUUGAUACUGGCAUCCUUGAGUACCGGAGAGGUAAGCGGAAUUCGUGGUGUAGCGGUGAAAUGCUUAGAUAUUACGAAGAACUCCGAUUGCGAAGGCAGCCUGCUGGACUGUAACUGACGCUGAUGCUCGAAAGUGUGGGUAUCAAACAGGAUUAGAUACCCGGGUAGUC
rnacentral:rRNA from 1 species